rnacentral:rRNA from 1 species
UACGUAGGGGGCGAGCGUUGUCCGGAAUCAUUGGGCGUAAAGAGCUCGUAGGCGGUUCAGCAAGUCGGCUGUGAAAUUCCGAGGCUCAACCUCGGAACUGCAGUCGAUACUGCUGUGACUCGAGUCCGGUAGAGGAGAAUGGAAUUCCCGGUGUAGCGGUGAAAUGUGUAGAGAUCGGGAGGAACACCGGUGGCGAAGGCGGGUCUCUGGGCAUUCCCUGACGCUGAGGCGCGAAAGCGUGGGGAGCAAACGGG